rnacentral:rRNA from 1 species
GGGGAAUAUUGCACAAUGGGCGGAAGCCUGAUGCAGCGACGCCGCGUGGGGGAUGACGGCCUUCGGGUUGUAAACCCCUUUCGCCCGGGACGAAGCGAGAGUGACGGUACCGGGAGAAGAAGCACCGGCCAACUACGUGCCAGCAGCCGCGGUAAUACGUAGGGUGCAAGCGUUGUCCGGAAUUAUUGGGCGGAAAGAGCUCGUAGGCGGUGUGUCGCGUCUGCCGUGAAAACCUGCGGCUUAACCGUGGGCGUGCGGUGGAUACGGGCACACUGGAGUUCGGUAGGGGAGACUGGAAUUCCUGGUGUAGCGGUGGAAUGCGCAGAUAUCAGGAGGAACACCAGUGGCGAAGGCGGGUCUCUGGGCCGAAACUGACGCUGAGGAGCGAAAGCGUGGGGAGCGAAC